rnacentral:lncRNA from 10 species
AAAAGUUACAGGAUAAAAAUGGAAUUGGUUGGCACUAAGUAGGACCACUUUCGAAGAGAAUGGGUAGAAUUCAUUUUCUUUUCAUUACUUCCUUUCAGCGUGGAGCCUGAGCAUCAUUUCACCAUUUUGAGCCUCAAGCUCUCAAUAUACUGGAAAAUUGUAAUCCUGUUCCCUUCACUGAGGUCAUAAUACUGAAUUCUGAAAUGGAAAUAAUUGACUAGAGAUUGUCUAGUCAAACUAGACUGAUGAGGUCUCACCAUUUUCUUCAAGGAAGAUCAACUGAACCUGCCUGAAGGCACAGGGUACACCAUCUUCCUAAGGUGUGACCUCCUGUUCCCAAAGGAAUAGACCUAGGUGACCAACCAGCAGCACCUAGCUUUUGCCAGCUACGCAGCUUUGAAUAGCCUUCCACCCUUGUGUCCUUCAAACCCCAUUCUUGCCAAAGCCAAGUUCUCUCCCUCCCUCUCAACAGAUUUCUCAGCACACAUCAGAUUUCACACCGAUCUAUGAAAAACUAUUUUUAGAGAUUAUUACUAUGGUCCGAAUGUUUAUAUCCCCUCCUGCUCUCCCUAAAAUUAUGUUGAAAUCCUAACCCCCAAGGUAAUGGUAUUAGGAAUGUGAGGCCUUUGGGAAGGGUUUAAGUCAUGAGGGCAGAGACCUCCUUUUUGAGAUUGGUACACUUAUAAAAGAGACCCCAGUAUCUUGCUCGUCCCUUCUGCCAUGGGAGAACACGGU